ncrna:unclassified sequences DTF2693-FD RNA
ACCCUGCUGACGGAUUGAACGGCAGGCGAUAGCGAGAAUCGGGGAGAGU